rnacentral:lncRNA from 1 species
UGUGUUUGAGGGCUGUCAUAAUAAGGUAGGAACUGCAUGAUCUGAAAGUGACUUAAAUUGUGGCAAACAAUGGAUGGCGUGCUAGCUUAAAGCAUAUGCAAAUUUUGUCUGAACUGGUACAUUUAUUCUCUUGUAGGCACCAUCAAUAGAAUUCCUACAUAUGCCGUGCCUUAAUUUUUACUAUACUUCAAGUCUAACCAAAUGAGAGAUGAAUAUGGGAACAUGAUGUGCUUGCAAGAAUUACUCCAUAAUUGAGUGGUCUAAACCCCUAACCUGCUGAACUAAGUACGUACAAAAAUCUCUCCAGCCGCCUGUAUAUAGCUGCUUGCUUUAUUGCUCUUAAAUUUAGAUUCUAAAAAAUGGUUAAAUACUGUACUAGUACCCCCUACUAAUGAAUUAAAUGUAUCUUCCAUCUUGCAACCAGGCCAGACCACCUAUAUACAAAUGGGCGAGAGUGGAAAAUUUUCGAAAUAAAUUGGUCCCCAUAUCAGUAUCCCCUUGACACGUACAGCUUGAACAAAUUUGAAUCAAAUUUAGCACAUGUCACUAUCUACCUGGAAAAAGAAAAGAAAAAAAAAAACAUAGAGAGAGAGACUCAACGCCUGCCUAGUGAUGGUAUGAUGAGAAGAUCUUUUCUCACUAGAUGACAUGUUAGAUAUCAGUAUUCAGGAGACUUAAGGCAGUGGUGACCGAGCCCUCAAAAAGCCUGCCUCUUCAACUGCAGAUACCCUUUUCCUUUGGACACCAAAAGAUGAAAACUAUUAGCUAGAAUAUGCGAGAAUUCUCUCCAAAUUAAUCAUAUGUAGAGAUAAUUAAGAAAAGAGGACCACAUAUAUUUGUGUAACUGUGAAGGAGGUAGGCGACGGGUGGCAUGUGAGGUGUCUAUGCAUCUUAUUAGAUGACAAACGGGCGAUCCAAAAGCUUGACGUUAAUUCUAGAGUUCCCAUACCACAGCUUCCAUCUCUAUCAACUCCUCUGCCAUUUCAGCUUCACCUGCCACUCAACUCAGCAAUACUAAUACUAAUUCAAAUACUAUUACGCCAUUAAUUUCUUUGGCAACAUCAACUUUUGAAGUCGU